rnacentral:rRNA from 1 species
GGGGGGGGGGGGGGGGGGGGGGGGGGGGGGGGGGGCGGGGGGGGGGGGGGAGGGGGGGUGGGGGGGUCGGGUGGCGGGCGGGGGGGUGACGCGUGGGGGGUCUGCCCUGCGCUUCGGGAUAAGCCUGGGAGACUGGGGCUAAUACCGGAUAGGACCACAUUUUGGAUGGUGUGGUGGAGAGUUUGUCGGUGUGGGAUGAGCUCGCGGCCUCUCAGCUUGUUGGUGGGGUAAUGGCCUACCAAGGCGUCGACGGGUAGCCGGCCUGAGAGGGUGUACGGCCACAUUGGGACUGAGAUACGGCCCAGACUCCUACGGGAGGCAGCAGUGGGGAAUAUUGCACAAUGGGCGCAAGCCUGAUGCAGCGACGCCGCGUGGGGGAUGACGGCCUUCGGGUUGGAAACUCCUUUCGCUAGGGACGAAGCGUUAUGUGACGGUACCUGGAGAAGAAGCACCGGCUAACUACGUG